AGCGGCGGAUGGGUGAGUAACACGUGGGGAACCUGCCCCUAAGUCUGGGAUACCAUCUGGAAACAGGUGCUAAUACCGGAUAAUAAAGCAGAUCGCAUGAUCAGCUUUUGAAAGGCGGCGUAAGCUGUCGCUAAGGGAUGGCCCCGCGGUGCAUUAGCUAGUUGGUAAGGUAACGGCUUACAAAGGCGACGAUGCAUAGCCGAGUUGAGAGACUGAUCGGCCACAUUGGGACUGAGACACGGCCCAAACUCCUACGGGAGGCAGCAGUAGGGAAUCUUCCACAAUGGACGCAAGUCUGAUGGAGCAACGCCGCGUGAGUGAAGAAGGUUUUCGGAUCGUAAAGCUCUGUUGUUGGUGAAGAAGGAUAGAGGUAGUAACUGGCCUUUAUUUGACGGUAAUCAACCAGAAAGUCACGGCUAACUACGUGCCAGCAGCCGCGGUAAUACGUAGGUGGCAAGCGUUGUCCGGAUUUAUUGGGCGUAAAGCGGGCGCAGGCGGAAAAAUAAGUCUAAUGUGAAAGCCCUCGGCUUAACCGAGGAACUGCAUCGGAAACUGUUUUUCUUGAGUGCAGAAGAGGAGAGUGGAACUCCAUGUGUAGCGGUGGAAUGCGUAGAUAUAUGGAAGAACACCAGUGGCGAAGGCGGCUCUCUGGUCUGCAACUGACGCUGAGGCUCGAAAGCAUGGGUAGCGAACAGGAUUAGAUACCCUGGGUAGUCUAUGCCGUAAACGAUGAGUGCUAAGUGU
rnacentral:rRNA from 1 species